AGUGAACGCUGGCGGUAGGCCUAACACAUGCAAGUCGAACGGCAGCACAGUAAGAGCUUGCUCUUACGGGUGGCGAGUGGCGGACGGGUGAGGAAUACAUCGGAAUCUACUUUUUCGUGGGGGAUAACGUAGGGAAGCUUACGCUAAUACCGCAUACGACCUACGGGUGAAAGCAGGGGAUCUUCGGACCUUGCGCGAUUGAAUGAGCCGAUGUCGGAUUAGCUAGUUGGCGGGGUAAAGGCCCACCAAGGCGACGAUCCGUAGCUGGUCUGAGAGGAUGAUCAGCCACACGGGAACUGAGACACGGUCCAGACUCCUACGGGAGGCAGCAGUGGGGAAUAUUGGACAAUGGGCGCAAGCCUGAUCCAGCCAUACCGCGUGGGUGAAGAAGGCCUUCGGGUUGUAAAGCCCUUUUGUUGGGAAAGAAAAGCAGCAGGUUAAUACCCCGCUGUUCUGACGGUACCCAAAGAAUAAGCACCGGCUAACUUCGUG
rnacentral:rRNA from 1 species